rnacentral:rRNA from 1 species
GAUGAAUGCUAGCGGCAGGCUUAACACAUGCAAGUCGAGGGGUAUAGUUCUUCGGAACUAGAGACCGGCGCACGGGUGCGUAACGCGUAUGCAAUCUACCUUUUGCAGAGGGAUAGCCCAGAGAAAUUUGGAUUAAAUACCUCAUAGUAUGUGAGAAUGGCAUCAUUUUCACAUUAAAGUCACAACGGCAAAAGAUGAGCAUGCGUCCCAUUAGCUUGUUGGUAAGGUAACGGCUUACCAAGGCAACGAUGGGUAGGGGUCCUGAGAGGGAGAUCCCCCACACUGGUACUGAGACACGGACCAGACUCCUACGGGAGGCAGCAGUGAGGAAUAUUGGGACAAUGGGCGCAAGCCUGAUCCAGCCAUGCCGCGUGCAGGAUGACGGUCCUAUGGAUUGUAAACUGCUUUUGUACAGGAAGAAACACUGGUUCGUGAACCAGCUUGACGGUACUGUAAGAAUAAGGAUCGGCUAACUCCGUGCCAGCA